AGAUCAUGCCACUGUACUCCAGCUUGGACGACAGAGCAAGACUUCAUCUCAAAGAAAGAAAAAAAAAGAUUGAUGGAGGUGACGCCGGCCCCUGCUCUCAGAAAUCCUCCCAUCUAAGAGUCUGUCAUGAGGGGUGAGCCCUGGGGGACCUGGAUGGAACCCAGAACGCCUUCUUGGAGGACAGUGCGCUGACCCUGGGGAGGAACAGGCAGGCAGAGGUGGCAACAUGCAGGGUCAGGAAGAGGCAAAAGCUACUCAGCUAUAGGAAGAGGCAGUCCUGGCAGGCUGUGGAGGGAGGAGAGCCCUCAGUCAGGCUGAAUUCAAAUAAGGGACUGCUUUUCUGCCUUGGUUUCCCCACAACCACCACCAGGCGCCAAGAAGAGAUCAGAAGGUAAACCACUGAUCCAAGGCUGCAGAGACUGAACUGUCAGAAUGUUCAGCCUCCAGGAGCUGAGAGCUCUGGUCUUUUGGAAGCUCCUUGGGAGUGUCUGAGCGCCUGGCUUACACGGCCACAGCAUGUGGAUCAAGCCUUCGCUUUGCUUCCUGCCAUGUCCUGGGUUCCCAAAGCAGCUUCCUCCUCUGCCCUCGGUUUGUCCCCUCCACACAGGCCUGGGGAAUGGAGUAAGGCCGUUCCCCCUGUGACCUCUGUGAGCUGGAGCGUGGCCUAGGUCCUUCUGUUAAUUUUCCUCAAGGCUGUGAACUUUGAAAGCCUAACACAUUUUAGGCUAAUGUCACCCAGCAAAGCAAGCAUCAAAGUGGCGGGUCGGGCCCUAAGCCCACGAUCGGCCACAAGAGGGCGCAUCACGUUUUCUCCAAGAGAAGCGGGGCUGCUGAUGAAGGACGGGCUCCCGGCCCCCUAGAGACCCUUCACCUCCUGGGAUCUUGCUCUAAGGAAGCCCGGUGCGAAGGAGGUGGCUUUCUCAGGUGGUCGCGCUAGAUGUCCAAGGCUUUAUGUUCGGUCAGAUGAGCUAUAUAAUAAAAUGAAAGUGUUAACUGGCA